CCUACGGGGGGCAGCAGUAGGGAAUAUUGCUCAAUGGGGGAAACCCUGAAGCAGCAACGCCGCGUGGAGGAUGAAGGUUUUCGGAUUGUAAACUCCUUUUGUUAGGGAAGAUAAUGACGGUAUCUAACGAAUAAGCACCGGCUAACUCCGUGCCAGCAGCCGCGGUAAUACGGAGGGUGCAAGCGUUACUCGGAAUCACUGGGCGUAAAGAGGGCGUAGGCGGGAUAGCAAGUCAGAUGUGAAAUCCUAUGGCUUAACCAUAGAACGGCAUUUGAAACUGUUAGUCUAGAGUAUGGGAGAGGUAGGUGGAAUGCUUGGUGUAGGGGUAAAAUCCGUAGAGAUCAAGAGGAAUACUCAUUGCGAAGGCGACCUGCUAGAACAUAACUGACGCUGAUGCGCGAAAGCGUGGGGAGCAAACAGGAUUAGAUACCCGAGUAGUC
rnacentral:rRNA from 1 species